CGUGAUGCGGAGCGAAAUGAAGUAGUGAAGCUGCGGCCCCUUCCUGUCGAGAAAAGCCGCUAUCGUGUAGCAAGGGCCCGUACCGUAAACCGACACAGGUGGAUGAGGAGAGGAUCCUAAGGCCGGCGGGAGAAGUGUUGUUAAGGAACUCGGCAAGAUGACUCCGUAACUUCGGGAGAAGGAGUGCUGCGCCAGCAGCCGCAGAGAAAUGGCCCAAGCAACUGUUUAGCAAAAACACAGGUCUAUGCGAAACCGAAAGGUGAGGUAUAUGGGCUGACGCCUGCCCGGUGCUGGAAGGUUAAGGGGAGAGCUUAGCGCGAGCGAAGGUUUGAACUUAAGCCCCAGUAAACGGCGGCCGUAACAAUAACGGUCCUAAGGUAGCGAAAUUCCUUGUCGGGUAAGUUCCGACCCGCACGAAAGGCGUAAUGAUUUGGGCACUGUCUCAACAACACACCCGGUGAAAUUGAAAUACCAGUGAAGAUGCUGGUUACCCGCGCCAGGACGGAAAGACCCCAUGGAGCUUUACUCCAGCCUGAUACUGGGAUUCGGUAUUGCAUGUACAGGAUAGGUGGGAGGCUAAGAACUCAUGGCGCCAGCCGUGAGGGAGCCGAUGUUGGGAUACCACCCCUGCAGUACUGGGUUUCUAACCUGCGCCCGUGACCCGGGCGGGGGACAAUGUCAGGCGGGGAGUUUGACUGGGGCGGUCGCCUCCGAAAGGGUAUCGGAGGCGCUCAAAGGUCUCCUCAGGAUGGUUGGAAACCAUCCAGAGAGUGCAAAGGCAGAAGGAGGCUUGACUGCGACACCGACGGGUGGAGCAGGUACGAAAGUAGGACUUAGUGAUCCGGUGGCAUAAAGUGGGAUUGCCAUCGCUCAACGGAUAAAAGCUACCCUGGGAUAACAGGCUUAUCACUCCCAAGAGUUCACAUCGACGGAGUGGUUUGGCACCUCGAUGUCGGCUCAUCGCAUCCUGGAGCUGGAGCAGGUUCCAAGGGUUGGGCUGUUCGCCCAUUAAAGCGGUACGCGAGCUGGGUUCAGAACGUCGUGAGACAGUUCGGUCCCUAUCCGGCGCGGGCGCAGGAUAUCUGAGAGUAGCUGUCCUUAGUACGAGAGGACCGGGAUGGACCGUCCGCUGGUGGACCGGUUGUCAUGCCAAUGGCACGGCCGGGUAGCCAAGACGGGAAGGGAUAAACGCUGAAGGCAUCUAAGCGUGAAGCCCCCCUCAAGAUGAGAUAUCCAUACUCGAAAGAGUGAGAGACCCCUUAGAGACGAUGAGGUAGAUAGGGCAGAGAUGGAAGCACAGCGAUGUGUGGAGUUGACUGUUACUAAUCGGUCGAAAGCUUG
rnacentral:rRNA from 1 species